CCUUACUUGUCCUGUCUGGAAAACCAAUAGAUAAUUGACCAUUUUAUACCUAUUCUACCUUAAUAUUUUCCAAUAUUUAUAAUUUAUAAUAGUCAAAUUAGUUUUUCAAUAAUAAUAAUAAUAAUUGGGGGUGUUGUAGUAAAAUUACCACAUUAUUUCUUACUUAUUUCUUAAGGGAUGUGUUCAGAGACGGAUUCAAGAUUUAAAUUUUAUGGGUUUAAUUUUUGAUGCUUUUAGCAUUGACUCAUUAUAUAUUUAAAGUUAUGGGUUCAUAUCUACUAUUUUUACAAUUUUAAUAAAAUUUUAAAUAUAAAUUUUUACUCCGUGUCGAAAACUAUAGGUUUAAUUGAACCCGUCGAUAAUGUACUACAACAGCCCUUGGACGUGUCAAGUCAAUAGUGGACAAGUAAACUUACACGGAUGAAAUACUUGGAAAAGUCGAGAAGGCAUUAAUCUUUUCUAAUUUUACCCUCACAGUCUCAUGAAGACGUAUAAUCAUUAAUUACCCGCUUAAAUAAAGAAAUAAAGAUAAUAUAGUCAAAUUAACCAUAUUGUUAUGAAAUCUCCUAUUUAAGGUGAAUGUCUAUAAUUAGAGAGAUUCUAGAGUUCU
rnacentral:lncRNA from 1 species